AGCAGCCACCUUUUAAAACGCGUCAAAGCGUAACCUUAAUCUCACAAAAUACCAUCAACCUUCAUGAACCCUUAAUUUAUAAUGAAUGACUCCAUAUUAAUAUGGAAGACACCAUGUUAGGAUUAGUAACAAGAAUUUAUAAUUCUCCAAAAUGCAAAUAUAAACCAACAUGGAUCGACCAUUGGUAAUUACCGAACCUAAACCUACUGCAAUAACGCCACAAGAAAACCCUGCAGUAUUUACUCGUUAACCUAACACUAGCGCAUUCCAGGAAAGAUUUAAAAAAAGAGAAGGAAUUCGGCAAAUGACGGCCCCGCCUGUUUACCAAAAACAUCGCCUCUUGGCUAUAAUAAGAGGUCCAGCCUGCCCAGUGAAUUUUAAACGGCCGCGGUAUCCUAACCGCGCGAAGGUAGCAUAAUCACUUGUUCUUUAAAUGGGGACUCGUAUCAACGGCAUCACGAGGGUUUUACUGUCUCCUCUUUUUGAUCAGUGAAAUUGAUCUUCCCGUGAAGAAGCGGGAAUAUUAAUAUAAGACGAGAAGACCCCAUGGAGCUUCAAACCAAAUAACAACUUAACCACUUAACCCAUAAUAAAUUUAAGCCAUGUUAUAAGGUUUUGGGUUGGGGUGACCGCGGAGUAAAGCACAUCCUCCACGACGGAAAGAACACAAUCUUUAUUUAAGAACUACAAUUCUAGAAAUUAGUAUACUAACGUUUACUGACCCGAUAAUCGAUCAACGGACCAAGUUACCCUGGGGAUAACAGCGCAAUCUACUUCAAGAGCUCAUAUCGACAAGUAGGCUUACGACCUCGAUGUUGGAUCAGGGUAUCCCGGUGGUGCAGCCGCUACCGAAGGUUCGUUUGUUCAACGAUUAAAACCC
rnacentral:rRNA from 1 species